AUUGAACGCUGGCGGCAGGCCUAACACAUGCAAGUCGAACGAGUGGCGGACGGGUGAGUAAUGUCUGGGAAACUGCCCGAUGGAGGGGGAUAACUACUGGAAACGGUCGCUUAUACCGCAUACCAUCGGAUGUGCCCAGAUGGGAAUGGCUAGUGGGGGGGGGAACGGCUCACCUAGGCGACGAUCCCUAGCUGGUCUGAGAGGAUGACCAGCCACACGGGAACUGAGAAACGGUCCGGACUCCUACGGGAGGCAGCGGGGGGGAAUAUUGCACAAUGGGGGAAAGCCUGAUGAAGCCAGGCCGCGGGUAUGAAGAAGGCCUUCGGGUUGUAAAGUACUUUCAGCGAGGAGGCGUUACUCGCAGAAGAAGCACCGGCUAACUCCGUGCCAGCAGCCGCGGUAAUAC
rnacentral:rRNA from 1 species